GUACCCAGUGAUUAUAAAAAGACGCGUUAUUCUGAGGGUUUCACUAGAUGUCAGUUUUCUGCCUUUCUCUGCUCUGGUUGUUUCUUCUUCUUUUUUUCUUUCUUCCUGUCCUCUGGUCUGUCCUGAAACUGACACCUGGUCCGUUGAUUGUGGUUAUGAGAGAUGAGGGUGC
rnacentral:snoRNA from 1 species